GACGAACGCUGGCGGCGUGCUUAACACAUGCAAGUCGAACGGAAAGGCCCUGCUUUUGUGGGGUGCUCGAGUGGCGAACGUGUGAGUAACACGUGAGUAACCUUCCCUUUACUUUGGGAUAACUUCAGGAAACUGGGGCUAAUACCUGAUAGGAGCUCCUGCUGCAUGGUGGGGUUUGGAAAGUUUCGGCGGUUGGGGAUGGACUCGCGGCUUAUCAGCUUGUUGGUGGGGUAGUGGCUUACCAAGGCUUUGACGGGUAGCCGGCCUGAGAGGGUGACCGGCCACAUUGGGACUGAGAUACGGCCCAGACUCCUACGGGAGGCAGCAGUGGGGAAUAUUGCACAAUGGGCGGAAGCCUGAUGCAGCAACGCCGCGUGCGGGAUGACGGCCUUCGGGUUGUAAACCGCUUUCGCCUGUGACGAAGCGUGAGUGACGGUAAUGGGUAAAGAAGCACCGGCUAACUACGUG
rnacentral:rRNA from 1 species